ACAGUGAAGCGUUAGGAAUCUAUUAAUCACCUAGUGUGUAUUUUCGCAUAAAUCCACAGGGCCCUUUAGAUGGGGUCACAACUGCAAAACGAGCCUGUUUACUAGAAUAACAAUGUAAGUUUAGCCUAGAAUGCGGCGCAUCGCCUGUUAAGUAUGACCCCUGGCCCGCGGCGUCAAUAAUGCUUUCUCAGCCAGGACUUAGAAGAAAAUUAUUCAAAUCUUCAAUGAUGUCUGGCAUACACGAUGGAAUUUUUCUGAUAAUCGCUGUUUUCAUCGUUCCAUACUAGAUGCACAAUAUACCAGUCAAAGACUUUAGCUCUUGACCAAUCAGAGCGAUGUACUCUCAAUUAGGAUUAGGACCGGCUAGUAUACAACAAUUGUUUUCCUAGAGGUGUCAAAGUAUUUUCACACUUCCUCAAGAUGAAAUUUUCAAAAAGCUGCGAAAAUUUGAACGAGAAGAAACCAACAAGAGCUGCAAAGGGUGGAUGUUUGCAAUGUCUAUAAGUAUCAAUCUGCUAAAACUUGCUUGAAGUGAUUUGCGCAAAAGGAAUUUGUCUGUUCCUUCAUUACGCUCUCUUGUAUCCAACAAAAGAGCUUGACUCUUUUACGACAGCUCUGCCGAUAAAAUUUGACAAUGGUAACCCGUUAAUUUUAAUUGCGUCCUUAAAGAAGGAAGCUGUUGGUUGCUUGGGCAAGCCCGAUCUGGGGAAAUAUCGAUUAGGAGCGAGCGUCGUUUACAGGAGGAGAAGUUUACGGUGCAAACUACCGCGUCUUCAAUUGUCCGUGAAAGUUGGAGUUUUCAGGGAGUGGAACAAGAGCAGAAAUGGGACAAGCACCCAUAUGCCAUUGAAGAACCAAAGAUACAGAUAAUGGUGGACAGGGUCUGAGGUAUCUAGACUUGGUGAUCCGCCUAGCCAUUCAGGGAAAAAUGUCAUCCAGCCUAGAAGUACAUCAAGUAAUAUUAAAUAUUUUUAAAUCAAUAAAUUAUCAGUCAGUCUU